GUACACGCUGUGACCAGCAUAUCAAUAAGCGGAGGAAAAGAAACUAACAAGGAUUCCCCUAGUAACGGCGAGUGAAGCGGGAAGAGCUCAAAUUUGAAAUCUUAAAGGGUUUCCCUUUACGAAUUGUAGUUUAAAGAAGUGUUUUCUGUUGAGGUUUUGGUAAAAGUUCUUUGGAAUAGGACAUCAUAGAGGGUGAGAAUCCCGUAUUUGACCUUUACUUUCAACUUUGUGAUACACUUUCAAAGAGUCGGAUUGUUUGGGAAUGCAGUCCAAAAUGGGUGGUAAAUUUCAUCUAAAGCUAAAUAUUGGCGAGAGACCGAUAGCGAACAAGUACCGUGAGGGAAAGAUGAAAAGAACUUUGAAAAGAGAGUUAAACAGUACGUGAAAUUGUCAAAAGGGAAGCGUUUGACACCAGUGUUGUUUUUCUGAAAAUCAAUUAAAGAACUGUUUAUGCUAAGCUGUUUAGACUUUAUCAGCUAUCUGUUUAGUUUUGAGCUUUUCUUUAAUGCACUUUUCAGUUAACAAGUCAACAUCAAUUUCUUUUGCUGUAAAAAAGCUUGAGGAAGGUGGCUUGAGAUUCGUCUUAAGUGUUUAUAGCCUCUUGCCUAUGCAGUCGGAGAGAUUGAGGUCUGCAGCGUAGAUCCUUCGGGGCUAAAUGCAUUUGUGCUAAGUUAUAGCAUUUUAUAGACAACUUGUUGACUAUGAUUUGUCUUGUAGCUUACUCGCUUAUGUUAUUUUACCUACGCUUAGGAUGUUGAAGAUGUAGCACAUCAU
rnacentral:rRNA from 1 species